rnacentral:rRNA from 1 species
UGGGGAAUAUUGCACAAUGGGCGCAAGCCUGAUGCAGCAAUGCCGCGUGAGUGAAGACGGCCUUAGGGUUGUAAAACUCUUUCGCUAGGGAAGAUAAUGACGGUACCUAGUAAAGAAGUCCCGGCUAACUCCGUGCCAGCAGCCGCGGUAAUACGGAGGGGGUUAGCGUUGUUCGGAAUUACUGGGCGUAAAGCGCACGUAGGCGGACCAGAAAGUUGGGGGUGAAAUCCCGGGGGCUCAACCCCGGAACUGCCUCCAAAACUAUUGGUCUAGAGUUCGAGAGAGGUGAGUGGAAUUCCAAGUGUAGAGGUGAAAUUCGUAGAUAUUUGGAGGAACACCAGUGGCGAAGGCGGCUCACUGGCUCGAUACUGACGCUGAGGUGCGAAAGUGUGGGGAGCAAACAGGAUUAGAUACCCUGGUAGUCCACACCGUAAAACGAUGAAUGCCAGUCGUCGGGUAGCAUGCUAUUCGGUGACACACCUAACGGAUUAAGCAUUCCGCCUGGGGAGUACGGUCGCAAGAUUAAAACUC